AUUGAACGCUGGCGGCAGGCCUAACACAUGCAAGUCGAACGAGUGGCGGACGGGUGAGUAAUGUCUGGGAAACUGCCUGAUGGAGGGGGAUAACUACUGGAAACGGUAGCUAAUACCGCAUACCAUCAGAUGUGCCCAGAUGGGAUUAGCUAGUUGGUGGGGUAACGGCUCACCAAGGCGACGAUCCCUAGCUGGGCUGAGAGGAUGACCAGCCAAACUGGAACUUGGACACGGUCCAGACGCCUACGGGAGGCAGCAAGGGGGAAUAUUGCACAAUGGGCGCAAGCCUGAUGGAGCCAGGCCGCGUGGAUGAAGGAGGCCUUCGGGUUGUAAAGGACUUUCAGCGGGGAGGCGUUACCUGCAGAAGAAGCACCGGCUAACUCCGUGCCAGCCGCCGCGGUAAUAC
rnacentral:rRNA from 1 species